UACGAAGGGUGCAAGCGUUAAUCGGAAUUACUGGGCGUAAAGCGUGCGUAGGUGGUUUGUUAAGUCUGCUGUGAAAGCCCUGGGCUCAACCUGGGAAUGGCGGUGGAUACUGACAAGCUAGAGUGCGGUAGAGGAGGGUGGAAUUCCCGGUGUAGCGGUGAAAUGCGUAGAGAUCAGGAGGAACACCGGUGGCGAAGGCGGGACUCUGGGCCGAUACUGACGCUGAGGAGCGAAAGCGUGGGGAGCGAACAGG
rnacentral:rRNA from 1 species